AGAAGGAAAAGAAGCCGCGGCCGGGCCGCUGAUGAUGAGGGGACGAUGAACUUCUCACCUUUCUUUAACUCAGAGCAACUCGUCCUUUAAAAAAAUCCACGCCGCCGUGGCUUUAUUAGCAUGGAAGAAUUCACCUUCAGAAGAUUGGAAACUUUUCUUUUUGGUUAUACAGGUUUGCAACGUUAAAAGUCAAUUCUUCGCUUAAUUUUGUCUUUGAAGGAGUUACCCUAAUUUAUUGAGAUGAUGAAUUAAAAUUGUCUCCAUUUCUCCUCUUUCCACAAAUUAAAAUGAUAACCAAACUUGGCAUCAUUGUUUCCUUGAUAAAAGCUUUCAGUUACAUGUGAGCUAAGUUGAAGUCUACUCCCUCCAUCCCAACCACACAAGCACAGUUUUCACUCUGACACUCCAAUAAUGCACUUAGUUUAAAAUUACACUUGGACCUUUCCUCCUUUGUAUUUUUUCAUUUACUUCAGUGCAACAAGAUGA
rnacentral:lncRNA from 1 species